GAGGUGCCUGGACAAGGAUGGGGGCCACAGGAGCCGACAGGGGUGGGGCCAGAACGGAGGUGACUGGACAAGGACAGCGGCCACAGGAGCCGACGGGGGUGGGGCUAGAAUGGAGGUGCCUGGACAAGGAUGGGGGCCGCAGGAGCCGACAGGGGUGGGGCCAGAACGGAGGUGCCUGGACAAGGAUGGGGGCCGCAGGAGCCGACAGGGGUGGGGCCAGAACGGAGGUGCCUGGACAAGGAUGAGGGCCACAGGAGCCGACGGGGGUGGGGCCAGAACGGAGAUGCCUGGACAAGGACAGGGGACACAGGAGCUGCUGAAGCUGGGACAAUCUGGGCAAUCUCAACGCCGCAGCACUGGACUUAC